rnacentral:lncRNA from 1 species
AGAAAAAGAUUACCUGUAUCCAUUUAAACGCAAUUGUUAACUGUGUUUUCUUUCAUUUAAUUGUUUUAGGUUCUGAACAUAGAAGAGGUCUGUUUUCCUAUCAUUCGACACUGAAAUGACGUUUCCAGGAUAAAAUUCUCCAAUUCAUGUCGAGUGUGCUUAUCCAUGUUUUCCCCACAGUAGAGUCAAACUCUUGAUGACGGUAUUUAGCAGUUGGUAAAUGCCUAGUGUGCUGAGUCUGUGCAGAUCUGAUACUCUUCACAGUCCCUGACCAAAGCCCCGGAUC